rnacentral:rRNA from 1 species
GACGAACGCUGGCGGCGUGCCUAAUACAUGCAAGUAGAACGCUGAAGACUUUAGCUUGCUAAAGUUGGAAGAGUUGCGAACGGGUGAGUAACGCGUAGGUAACCUGCCUACUAGCGGGGGGAUAACUAUUGGAAACGACUGCUAAUACCGCAUAAGCCCACAGCUCGGCAUCGAGCAGAGGGAAAAGGAGUGAUCCGCUUUGAGAUGGCCUCGCGUCCGAUUAGCUGGUUGGUGAGGUAACGGCCCACCAAGGCGACGAUCGGUAGCCGGACUGAGAGGUUGAACGGCCACAUUGGGACUGAGACACGGCCCAG